UACGUAGGGUGCGAGCGUUGUCCGGAAUUACUGGGCGUAAAGAGCUCGUAGGCGGUUUGUCGCGUCGUCUGUGAAAACCAGCAGCUCAACUGCUGGCUUGCAGGCGAUACGGGCAGACUUGAGUACUGCAGGGGAGACUGGAAUUCCUGGUGUAGCGGUGAAAUGCGCAGAUAUCAGGAGGAACACCGGUGGCGAAGGCGGGUCUCUGGGCAGUAACUGACGCUGAGGAGCGAAAGCGUGGGUAGCGAAC
rnacentral:rRNA from 1 species